UACGUAGGCAGCAAGCGUUGUUCGGAGUUACUGGGCGUAAAGGGUGUGUAGGCGGUUCUUUAAGUUUGGUGUGAAAUCUCCCGGCUCAACUGGGAGGGUGCGCCGAAUACUGAGGGACUAGAGUACGGGAGAGGAAAGUGGAAUUCCUGGUGUAGCGGUGAAAUGCGUAGAUAUCAGGAGGAACACCCGUGGCGAAGGCGGCUCUCUGGGACGGUACUGACGCUGAGACGCGAAAGCGUGGGGAGCGAACAGG
rnacentral:rRNA from 1 species